AGUCCCCACACACUUCACCCGUGUUGGCAGGAGCGGGGGACCCGCCAGGUACGACUGCCUGUCUUGGUCUCCGAGACAGGCUCGGGGUGCAGCCGUGCCCUUGCACGGCCGGGCAGCUCCAGCCCGAACCCGACAGCUCACCUCGCAGGCGCCGGAGAGGAAUG
rnacentral:sRNA from 1 species